rnacentral:rRNA from 1 species
CCGAGUUGUAAUUUGCAGAGGAUGAUUUUGGCGAGGUGCCUUCCGAGUUCCCUGGAACGGGACGCCACAGAGGGUGAGAGCCCCGUCUGGUUGGACGCCGAGCCUAUGUAAAUCUCCUUCGACGAGUCGAGUAGUUUGGGAAUGCUGCUCUAAAUGGGAGGUAUAUGUCUUCUAAAGCUAAAUAUUGGCCAGAGACCGAUAGCGCACAAGUAGAGUGAUCGAAAGAUGAAAAGCACUUUGAAAAGAGGGUUAAAUAGUACGUGAAAUUGUUGAAAGGGAAGCGCUCAUGACCAGACUUGGGCCCGGUGAAUCAUCCAGCGUUCUCGCUGGUGCACUUUGCCGGGCUCAGGCCAGCAUCAGUUUGCCCCGGGGGAUAAAGGCUUUGGGAAUGUGGCUCCUCCGGGAGUGUUAUAGCCCAUUGCACAAUAUCCUGGGGUGGACUGAGGUUCGCGCAUCUGCAAGGAUGCUGGCGUAAUGGUCAUCAGCGACCCGUCUUGAAACACGGACCAAGGAGUCGUCUUCGUAUGCGAGUGUUCGGGUGUAAAACCCCUACGCGUAAUGAAAGUGAACGCAGGUGAGAGCUUCGGCGCAUCAUCGACCGAUCCUGAUGUUCUCGGAUGGAUUUGAGUAAGAGCAUACGGGGCCGGACCCGAAAGAAGGUGAACUAUGCCUGUAUAGGGUGAAGCCAGAGGAAACUCUGGUGGAGGCUCGCA